rnacentral:rRNA from 1 species
GAUGAACGCUAGCGGGAGGCUUAAUACAUGCAAGUCGAGGGGCAGCGUGGGACACUUCGGUGACCUGACGGCGACCGGCGCACGGGUGCGUAACGCGUACACAACAUACCUUAUACAGGAGAAUAGCCCUUGGAAACGAGGAUUAAUGCUCCAUAGUAUUGACUAAUCGCAUGAUUUGGUUAAUUAAAGCUACGGCGGUAUAAGAUUGGUGUGCGUACUAUUAGCUAGUUGGUGAGGUAACGGCUCACCAAGGCGAUGAUAGUUAGGGGGCGUGAGAGCGUGGACCCCCACACGGGUACUGAGACACGGACCCGACUCCUACGGGAGGCAGCAGUAAGGAAUAUUGGACAAUGGAGGCAACUCUGAUCCAGCCAUCCCGCGUGUAGGAUGACGGCCCUCUGGGUUGUAAACUACUUUUAGACAGGAAGAACUCCUUUCAUUUAUGAGAGGCUGACGGUACUGUCAGAAUAAGCACCGGCUAAUUCCG